GGGUAGGUAGCACGUAAUUGGCAGCGUCCUCGGCUGUAAACCGAGUGCUCUUUGGAGUCUUGAAGGUUCAAAGCCUUCCCUGCCCA
rnacentral:tRNA from 1 species